AGUUUGGUAUAAGGGUUGCAAUGGACUCGUGGUCUGAAGCACUCCUUUCACCUGAACGUAACUGGACGCCUGAGGAAAUACUGGACAAGUUGAAGAACUAUAUGGAUUUUUUGUCUCUUUUCAAAAAUAGAUUUCUCGAUGGCUAAUAUAAGUGAGCCAAAGUGCAAAAGUUGAAUGGGUACAUGGAAUUUUUAUCUCUACUUAAAAUUUAGGUUUUCGAUGGCCAACAAGUAUUCUCAGAGCCGAUUUGAGGCCUAAGCUGCGGCAAAAAUAUCUCAAAUGGCAGGGAAACGACAUUGUAAGGUAAAGAAAUUCCAUAAAGUUAUGCAAUGUUUAUAAGAACAAUUAAUCACAGGCAAAAUCAACUACAUCGUCAAAAAGAGAUAUUAAUAUAUGCGAAUUUAUUACUAAUGAUCAAGGCUUGUAAAAUGUUGCUUUAAAAUAUAUUA